rnacentral:rRNA from 1 species
GUAGGUGGCAAGCGUUGUCCGGAAUUAUUGGGCGUAAAGCGCGCGCAGGCGGUUCGUUUAAGUCUGAUGUGAAAGCCCACGGGCUCAACCGUGGAGGGUCAUUGGAAACUGGAGAACUUGAGUACAGAAGAGGAAAGCGGAAUUCCACGUGUAGCGGUGAAAUGCGUAGAGAUGUGGAGGAACACCAGUGGCGAAGGCGGCUUUCUGGUCUGUAACUGACGCUGAGGCGCGAAAGCGUGGGGAGCAAACAGGAUUAGAUACCCUGGUAGUCUACGCCGUAAACGAUGAGUGCUAAGUGUUAGGGGGUUUCCGCCCCUUAGUGCUGCAGCUAACGCAUUAAGCACUCCGCCUGGGGAGUACGGCCGCAAGGCUG